AGUAGUUUGACUCCGUGGCUCGAGGAUAGAACGCUGGCGGCGUGCUUAACACAUGCAAGUCGAACGAAGAAUCCCUACCGAUCGAGUCAACUUGGUUUCAAGGAGAUGAAAUCACCUGGGAUUACUUAGUGGCGGACGGGUGAGUAACGCGUGGGUAACCUGCCCUAUACAGGGGGAUAGCAGUUGGAAACGACUGAUAAUACCGCAUAAGCGCACGAUAUCGCAUGAUAAUGUGUGAAAAACUCUGGUGGUAUAGGAUGGACCCGCGUCUGAUUAGCUAGUUGGAGAGGUAACGGCUCCCCAAGGCGACGAUCAGUAGCCGACCUAAGAGGGUGACCGGCCACAUUGGGACUGAGACACGGCCCAAACUCC
rnacentral:rRNA from 1 species